AUGACUACUUGACUUGGUAGCUAGCGCCAACUGACCUUAGGGUUCAUUCAAGUUAAAACUUGAAACAAGCUUGCUGAGAAGCCAUUUGUUGCGGGGUUGAAGACGAAAGGAAUCGAAGAAAAAAUGCCAACGUACAAGAUCAGGGGAAUCGACGUCGAUUUCCCGUACGAAGCCUACGAUUCGCAGAUCGUUUACAUGGACAAAGUCAUCCAAUCCCUUCAGGAGAACUGCAAUGCACUGUUGGAGAGUCCCACAGGAACUGGUAAAACGUUGUGUCUUCUCUGUGCUACCUUGGCGUGGCGCAGGAGUUUCGGAAAUUUCAGAUUUGGUUUGAGCAUGAACGCCAGUGAUAAGUCCGAGGCUAAAACCGAGAUUUCGCCUUCGUCCCUGCCAUCGUCCCCGCCCUCGCAAUCUGAGUCCUCAGGUUUACCUACAAUAGUAUAUACUUCGCGCACUCACAGCCAGAUCCGUCAGGUGAUUCAAGAGCUGAAACGAUCGUCUUACAGGCCUAAGAUGAUAGUAUUAGGAUCUAGGGAGCAGCUUUGCAUUCAUGAUAAAGUGAAGUCACUUCACGGGAAAACACAAACAAAUGCUUGUCGAGCACUCUGCCAAAAGCGUAGAGGGAAGCAACGAUGCAAUCAUUUACCUCAAGUUGCUGAUUACUUGAAGAGCAAUCCUCAUCUUGGAGAAGAACCUGUAGAUAUUGAGGAUUUGGUCAAUAUUGGCAAGAGUUUUGGGCCGUGUCCUUAUUAUUUAUCAAAGGAGCUCCAUAAGUCUGUGGAUAUAGUAUUUGCUCCAUACAACUAUCUUAUUGAUCAUGCGUAUAGAAAAUCUCUGCAACUUUCAUGGAGCAAUAGCAUACUCAUAUUUGAUGAAGCUCACAACCUUGAAGGCAUAUGUGCUGAUGCAGCCUCCUUUGAUUUGCCUUCGUGGCUUCUAACAGCUUGCAUUUCUGAGGCUCAAAAAUGUGUUGACCUUUCAAUAGAAAGAAGAGAAAAAUCAAAUGAUAAGUCACAGAAUCCAGAUGAUUUUGCAAUCCUUAGAGCACUUCUUCUAAAACUUGAAAAGCGGAUUGCUCAGGUGCCUAUCGAAUCAAAGGAGUUGGGAUACACCAAACCUGGGCCUUAUAUAUAUGAACUGCUAGCUGAUCUUAACAUCACUUCCAAGACUUUUAAAAAGCUUUCCGCGAUAAUUGCUGCUGCUUCAACCCUUAUUGAGGAGGAUAACCAGCAGAAAUCAACUGGUACCAUCUGCAGGUUGGAUAGCAUUGGUGAAAUUCUUGACAUUGUUUUCAAGGGUGGAAGAACUACUCAUGCUACAUACUAUCGAGUUCAUGUGCGGGAGUUCGAAGCUAGGACUGCCAAUGGAUCUAAAGGAAAUGUGUCAAGGACACUCAGCUGGUGGUGUUUUAAUCCUGGAAUAGCCAUGGAAGAAUUUCAUAGGUUGGGAGUCAGGUCUAUUAUAUUGACAUCAGGGACAUUAUCCCCCAUGGAUUCUUUUGCUCAGGAACUGAAACUAGAUUUCCCCAUUCAGCUGGAAAAUCCACAUGUAAUAACCCCAAAUCAGAUAUGGGCUGGAGUUGUACCAGUUGGUCCUUCAGGACGUAUUUUUAACUCCUCCUACCGCACUCGCGAUUCUCAAGAGUACAGGCAGGAACUUGGAAAUGCAAUUGUAAAUUUGGCCCGAAUUGUUCCUGAUGGACUUCUUGUAUUCUUCCCCUCUUACUACCUUCUGGACCAAUGCAUUGGGUGCUGGAAAAGCUUGAGUAAUGAAACUUCAAUGUCCAUAUGGGAGAGAAUUUGCAAACACAAAAAACCAGUUAUAGAACCUAGGGAAUCUUCAUUAUUUCCCUCAUCAAUCAAGGAUUACAUAUCUAAGUUGAAAGACACCUCCACAUCUGGAGCAGUUUUCUUUGCUGUUUGUCGUGGUAAGGUAAGUGAAGGAUUAGAUUUUGCGGAUCAUGCUGGACGAGCUGUGGUAAUUACUGGUUUGCCAUAUGCUACAUAUACUGAUCCUAAGGUUCGUCUAAAACGUGAAUACUUGGAUCAGCAAUCUCAUCCACGCGGAGAAUCAUUCAAGGUUUUAACUGGAGAUGAGUGGUAUAACCAACAAGCCUCCCGAGCUGUGAAUCAAGCUGUUGGACGUGUCAUUCGUCAUCGACAUGACUAUGGAGCAAUUAUUUUCUGUGAUGAAAGGUUUGCACAUCCACAUCGUCAGUCCCAAGUCUCUCGAUGGAUACAACCUCACAUCAAGUGUUUCUCAAGAUUUGGAGAAGUUGUUUAUACACUAACCCGGUUUUUCCGAGAUGUAACAAUCCGUGGACCUACAAAGCUAUCAUUAUUAGAGGUUGAUGAUGGGGGAAAUGUGGGAGAAAUUACAUCAGCUGAUCCCUAUGAUGAUAAAUUUAAUGUCAAAAAACUUCUCUCACCUGUGGCUACACCAGUGGCUGAAAGUUUUUCUUCAAAAGCUUCUUUACUUGGUACUAGAAAAGGCAGUACUUCAUUCCUUGGAGAAAUUGUACCUGCUAAUCGAUCAUCUCUGGCGUCUGAUGAUUGCAACAUUGUAGAUUGUGCAAGUUCAAGAGAUAAAUGUGGCAGAGUUUUUCUUGGAAAGAAGACUGGGAUAUCACAAGAACAUGAAUUUGUUGAUUUGACUGAUACUCGUCAACUGGGUGAAAAAUCAAAGGAUACGCUGAUAGCACCUUGUUCAGUCAAGAAACGUAGAUUUAUAACAGGAGAGUACAACCUGCAGCAACAUUUUAGAGAUUCUCACGAGCCUUCAUCUGGUAGCGGAGAAUUGCAAUGUAAGGAUGAAGGGACCUUCCAAAAGAGAAGUCUGGAGAUCGAUAGUCAAAGAGGUGAUCUUCCUGGUGAUUCUGCACCUUCUGCUAGUAAUGAAACCCAAGGAUCAGCAUUCCUUGCUCAGGUUCGAGAGAAGCUCAGUGCUUCAGAAUAUAUAGACUUUGUGGGUUAUAUGAAGGCACUAAAGACCAAAGCAAUGAAGAUCGGUGAAGUUUUGCAGUGCAUUUGUAGACUGUUCUCAGGACCCGAGAGACUACCUCUACUUAAAAGGUUUAAGGAUUACAUCCCAGCAAAAUAUCAUUCCUUGUAUGAGCAUUAUGUUGGGGAGAAAAAGUUAGUGGAAGGCUAAUCAAAUAUGCUCAGCUCAUGGCUAUCUCUUGCAAUUUUUCGGCUAGAACUCAGGUUGUCAUGCUUUUACCUCUUAAGUCAAUUCACAAACGGGUUGUGAAGUCCUUCUUACCAUUGUACUAAUUCAUAAUCUAAGGAGAGGAUAUGCUUGGGCCUUGGUGCAAUUGCAACUAUGGGAGUGAAUGGAAGAUUGUUUUCCCCAAUUUGGAGGAUGGAGGCACCGUCCGAAUAUUUUCCCACCAAUUUCCUUGUGAGAUCACUGGUCGUUCAAUUUGGAGGGUGUAGAAGGCUUCAUGGGAUUGCUUUCCACCAUUUGACACGUGAGAUUCUGUGCCCCAAUUUGGAGGGUGUAGGAGGCACCGUUGGGGGAAAAAUCCAAAUAUAUUAAGGUUUAGUCUUAAACAAUAAACAGACUAAAACAAAGGA